rnacentral:rRNA from 1 species
UACGUAGGUGGCAAGCGUUGUCCGGAAUUACUGGGCGUAAAGCGCGUGUAGGCGGGCCGGUUAGUCGGACGUGAAAGGCUGGGGCUCAACCCCAGAUCGCCGUUCGAAACUGCCGUUCUUGAGGGUCGAAGAGGAGAGUGGAAUUCCUGGUGUAGCGGUGAAAUGCGUAGAGAUCAGGAGGAACACCCAUGGCGAAGGCAGCGCUCUGGUCGACAUCUGACGCUGAGACGCGAAAGCGUGGGGAGCGAACGGG